rnacentral:rRNA from 1 species
UGCCAGCAGCCGCGGUAAUACGGAGGGGGCUAGCGUUGUUCGGAAUUACUGGGCGUAAAGCGCACGUAGGCGGUUUAUCUAGUUAGGCGUGAAAGGCCGGGGCUCAACCUCGGAACUGCGCUUAAUACUGGUAGACUUGAGGACGAGAGAGGGUAGUGGAAUUCCCAGUGUAGAGGUGAAAUUCGUAGAUAUUGGGAAGAACACCAGUGGCGAAGGCGACUGCCUGGCUCGUAACUGACGCUGAGGUGCGAAAGCGUGGGGAGCAAACAGGAUUAGAUA